AAUGAACGCUGGCGGCAGGCCUAACACAUGCAAGUCGAACGGAUCCUUCGGGAUUAGUGGCGGACGGGUGAGUAACGCGUGGGAACAUACCCAAAGGUACGGAAUAGCCUCGGGAAACUGGGAGUAAUACCGUAUGUGCUCGAAAGAGGAAAGAUUUAUCGCCUUUGGAUUGGCCCGCGUUGGGUUAGGUAGUUGGUGGGGUAAUGGCCUACCAAGCCGACGAUCCGUAGCUGGUUUGAGAGGAUGAUCAGCCACACUGGGACUGAGACACGGCCCAGACUCCUACGGGAGGCAGCAGUGGGGAAUCUUAGACAAUGGGGGAAACCCUGAUCUAGCCAUGCCGCGUGAUCGAUGAAGGCCUUAGGGUUGUAAAGAUCUUUCAGGUGGGAAGAUAAUGACUGUACCACCAGAAGAAGCCCCGGCUAACUCCGUGCCAGCCGCCGCAGUAA
rnacentral:rRNA from 1 species